GAUGAACGCUGGCGGCGUGCUUAACACAUGCAAGUCGAACGAUGAAGGAAGCUUGCUUCUGGAUUAGUGGCGAACGGGUGAGUAACACGUGAGUAACCUGCCCUUGACUCUGGGAUAAGCACUGGAAACGGUGUCUAAUACCGGAUACGAGCUUCAGCCGCAUGGCUAGGAGUUGGAAAGAAUUUUGGUCAAGGAUGGACUCGCGGCCUAUCAGCUAGUUGGUGAGGUAAUGGCUCACCAAGGCGACGACGGGUAGCCGGCCUGAGAGGGUGACCGGCCACACUGGGACUGAGACACGGCCCAGACUCCUACGGGAGGCAGCAGUGGGGAAUAUUGCACAAUGGGCGAAAGCCUGAUGCAGCAACGCCGCGUGAGGGACGACGGCCUUCGGGUUGUAAACCUCUUUUAGUAGGGAAGAAGCGAAAGUGACGGUACCUGCAGAAAAAGCACCGGCUAACUACGUGCCAGCAGCCGCGGUAAUACGUAGGGUGCAAGCGUUAUCCGGAAUUAUUGGGCGUAAAGAGCUCGUAGGCGGUUUGUCGCGUCUGCUGUGAAAACUGGAGGCUCAACCUCCAGCCUGCAGUGGGUACGGGCAGACUAGAGUGCGGUAGGGGAGAUUGGAAUUCCUGGUGUAGCGGUGGAAUGCGCAGAUAUCAGGAGGAACACCAAUGGCGAAGGCAGAUCUCUGGGCCGUAACUGACGCUGAGGAGCGAAAGCAUGGGGAGCGAACAGGAUUAGAUACCCUGGUAGUCCAUGCCGUAAACGUUGGGAACUAGAUGUAGGGACCAUUCCACGGUUUCUGUGUCGCAGCUAACGCAUUAAGUUCCCCGCCUGGGGAGUACGGCCGCAAGGCUAAAACUCAAAGGAAUUGACGGGGGCCCGCACAAGCGGCGGAGCAUGCGGAUUAAUUCGAUGCAACGCGAAGAACCUUACCAAGGCUUGACAUAUACCGGAAAUGGCUAGAAAUAGUCCCCCCGCAAGGUCGGUAUACAGGUGGUGCAUGGUUGUCGUCAGCUCGUGUCGUGAGAUGUUGGGUUAAGUCCCGCAACGAGCGCAACCCUCGUUCUAUGUUGCCAGCACGUAAUGGUGGGAACUCAUAGGAGACUGCCGGGGUCAACUCGGAGGAAGGUGGGGAUGACGUCAAAUCAUCAUGCCCCUUAUGUCUUGGGCUUCACGCAUGCUACAAUGGCCGAUACAAAGGGCUGCAAUACCGUAAGGUGGAGCGAAUCCCAAAAAGUCGGUCUCAGUUCGGAUUGAGGUCUGCAACUCGACCUCAUGAAGUCGGAGUCGCUAGUAAUCGCAGAUCAGCAACGCUGCGGUGAAUACGUUCCCGGGCCU
rnacentral:rRNA from 1 species